GCUAACUCCGUGCCAGCAGCCGCGGUAAUACGGAGGGUCCGAGCGUUAAUCGGAAUUACUGGGCGUAAAGCGCGCGUAGGUGGUUCAGUCAGUCAGAUGUGAAAGCCCCGGGCUCAACCUGGGAACUGCACCUGAUACUGCUGAGCUAGAGUACGGUAGAGGGCAGUGGAAUUUCCGGUGUAGCGGUGAAAUGCGUAGAGAUCGGAAGGAACACCAGUGGCGAAGGCGACUGCCUGGACUGAUACUGACACUGAGGUGCGAAAGCGUGGGUAGCAAACAGGAUUAGAUACCCGUGUAGUC
rnacentral:rRNA from 1 species